rnacentral:rRNA from 1 species
AGUGAACGCUGGCGGCAGGCCUAACACAUGCAAGUCGAACGGCAGCGCAGCAGUAGCAAUACUGUGGGCGGCGAGUGGCGGACGGGUGAGGAAUACAUCGGAAUCUACCUUGUCGUGGGGGAUAACGUAGGGAAACUUACGCUAAUACCGCAUACGACCUACGGGUGAAAGCGGCGGACCGCAAGGCGUCGCGCGAUUGGAUGAGCCGAUGUCCGAUUAGCUAGUUGGCGGGGUAAAGGCCCACCAAGGCGACGAUCGGUAGCUGGUCUGAGAGGAUGAUCAGCCACACUGGAACUGAGACACGGUCCAGACUCCUACGGGAGGCAGCAGUGGGGAAUUUUGGACAAUGGGCGAAAGCCUGAUCCAGCCAUGCCGCGUGAGUGAAGAAGGCCUUCGGGUUGUAAAGCUCUUUCGGCCGGGAAGAAAUCGCAUGGGCUAAUACCCUGUGUGGAUGACGGUACCGGAAUAAGAAGCACCGGCUAACUACGUGCCAGCAGCCGCCGUAACAC